rnacentral:lncRNA from 1 species
GCGCACCUCUUCUCCAUUACUUCCUCUUGUCUUACGUGAUACCCUCAAGCCUCUGAUGGCUUUGUGUUUUAUAUAUAUAUUGUUUUGUUCUUUUGGUUCAGUUACUUUUAUACUGUUUACAUGGGCCAUUACUUUAGCUUCAGGAAACACUAGCUUUACAACGGAUUUAUUAAGUACCUAACUGUGCGUGCCGCAGCACUUGAAACCUAGCCAAGGGAGCCAGGCCCUCAGCGAGCCAGGGUGGUUGGGAGUGAGAAAGGCCAGAUCAGGCAGGGUCUGAAAAAACAAAAACAAAAACAAAAACAAAAAACAAAAAACAAAAAACUGAGUUCUUCCUCCAACUGCCUUCUAACAUCAGAAGGGACACCGACAUCUUGGAAUCUCAGAGAAGUGAGUUGUGAAAUAUCCCAGUUUCCCAAAUUCACGAACUGCUCAUGAGGUUUAUGAGAAAUGGUGUGGAGAAGAUUUUAGUGCCAGCAAUAUGGAUGGAGGGAAUAAUUAUGCACAUGGGAGAAACAGGGAGUUCCUUGCAUGAGACCUAGCAAUGUCACGGAGCCCUGCCUGGUAGGAGUGGCUGCAGCUACCAGCGUUGGGACCAUCUUGAACCCAGCUUGCACUCCUAGUUGUCUUUGCUUCCUUUCCCAUUAAAAGUAAGGAGUGCCUGCCUCAGCAGUUUGCCACAGGAUGGCGAGAGAUUAACCUGUGUGCUCAGACUGACGCCCAGGAAGCCAACAUCACACACACACACACACACACACACACACACACACACACACACCCCGGUACUCACCUGAGCUUUGGCUGCAGGACCUCCCACACUCAGAAAGAGGGAACCGCUAACAUCAUGAUUUCUGGAGAUUUCUGAUCUCUUCCAUCAGCACCACUGAGACUAACCAGAGUUUUUACAAGAAGCAAAGGACAUUUGGAUUCAGGGCAGCAGGGGAAAAAAAAAAAGUUUUUCAAAGCAAGUACCCUCGGGAUAGAAAAAAAGAUUCCAGUCUCAGUUCUCUUCCUGACAGCCCCAGUCAAGGAAGGAGGAGGGAGAGGAGGGAGGAGACAGAGAAAGAUCAAGGGCCCCAGGGCAGGAACAGGAGGCGGGGCCACAGGGGAUGGAAAGACAGGAAACAAAGGCCCAACAGAGUUCACUGGCUUUCUGACCGAAUUCCCAAUUCUCUAAUCCCCAGCAAUGAUUUGUUUGAACAAAGUGAUGCUCACAAGUCAAGUCCACCCCAUAGGAUCAGGCUUCAGGAAAAAGGACACAUCUGGGGGAACCUGAGGCAAAGGCAAGGGCCUGCUUAGUCUCCUAUUCUGCGAGAUACACCCUAGAAACAGAAAUAAUACAGAAUUAACUGUUCAUACUUAGUCUGCAGUGUUGUAAACCUUCCUCCUUGGCCCUGAAUGCUCCAGGUACGCAGUUUGCAUUUGGAAUCCCUGGUAGUAUUUGGAGGUGGCAAAACUUGGUUUUUUUGUUUGUUUGUUUGUUUUGUUUUGUUUUGUUUUGUUUUGUUUUAAUAUGGGUAUUUAUUUUUUUAAUUGGGUAAUUUCUUUAUUUACAUUCCAAAUGUUAUCCCCUUUCCUGGCUGCCCCUCCGAAAAACCCCUCCCCCUCCCCCUCCUCCUGUCCACCAACGCAUCCACUCCAGUUUCCUGUCCCUAGCAAUUCCCUACACUGGGACAUCAAGCCUUCACAGGACCAAGGGACUCUCCUCCCACUGAUGACCAACUAGGCCAUCCUCUGCUGCAUAUGCAGCUGGAGCUAUGAGUCCCACCAUGUGUGCUCUUUGGUUGGUGGUUUAGUUUCUGGGAGCUCUGGGGGUACUGGUUAGUUCAUAUUGUUGUCCCUCCCAUGGGGCUGCAGACCCCUUCAGCUUCUUAGGUCCUUUCUCUAGCUCCUCGAGGUGGCAAAACUUUAAGGGGACAUCUUUGAAUUCUUAGCUAAUCUUCCUUCUUUCCCUGUUUAUCUCACAUCCCAGCCUUGAGGGAAGCAGCUUUGUGUCACCACAUCUUCCCUGACAGUGUGUGCUGCCCUAUACAAGGCCACCAGAGCCUGGGCUAAAGCCUCUAUGACUGUGUGGGCCAAAGCUUCUAUAGCUGCAAGCCAGAAUAAAUUCUUUCUUCUUGUAAGU